UCCACCUGCCAGAGGUGUGAUUUAUCACAAGCGUCGUUCAGCUUCCCUGGCCUCCUGCUCUCCACCGCUCACCUGCCUUCCUGGAUCCAGCAUCUCCUCCAGCGACCAUCUCCUCCCUGCAUCAACCUGACUUGCCUCUCCCUCCUGCCCCUCGUCCUGCUCAACUCAAGUCGGAGUUGCCUCGUUUCCUGUCCCGUUUGGAUCAGCGCCCUCAGUUUUCGCUUUGUUUUCUUUAUAAAAUAAAGAUUUUAUUAUCAUC